GGUGGGGGACAACAGUUGGAAACGACUGCUAAUACCGCAUAAUGUCUACGGACCAAAGGGGGCUUCGGCUCUCGCCUUUAGAUUGGCCCAAGUGGGAUUAGCUAGUUGGUGAGGUAAUGGCUCACCAAGGCAACGAUCCCUAGCUGGUUUGAGAGGAUGAUCAGCCACACUGGGACUGAGACACGGCCCAUACUCCUACGGGAGGCAGCAGUGGGGAAUAUUGCACAAUGGGCGCAAGCCUGAUGCAGCCAUGCCGCGUGUGUGAAGAAGGCCUUCGGGUUGUAAAGCACUUUCAGUCAGGAGGAAAGGUUAGUAGUUAAUACCUGCUAGCUGUGACGUUACUGACAGAAGAAGCACCGGCUAACUCCGUGCCAGCAGCCGCGGUAAUACGGAGGGUGCGAGCGUUAAUCGGAAUUACUGGGCGUAAAGCGUACGCAGGCGGUUUGUUAAGCGAGAUGUGAAAGCCCCGGGGCUCAACCUGGGAACUGCAUUUCGAACUGGCAAACUAGAGUGUGAUAGAGGGUGGUAGAAUUUCAGGUGUAGCGGUGAAAUGCGUAGAGAUCUGAAGGAAUACCGAUGGCGAAGGCAGCCACCUGGGUCAACACUGACGCUCAUGUACGAAAGCGUGGGGAGCAAACAGGAUUAGAUACCCUGGUAGUCCACGCCGUAAACGAUGUCUACUAGAAGCUCGGAGCCUCGGCUCUGUUUUUCAAAGCUAACGCAUUAAGUAGACCGCCUGGGGAGUACGGCCGCAAGGUUAAACUCAAAUGAAUUGACGGGGCCCGCACAAGCGGUGGAGCAUGUGGUCUAAUUCGAUGCAACGCGAAGAACCUUACCUACACUU
rnacentral:rRNA from 1 species